rnacentral:lncRNA from 10 species
UACAGGCGUGAGACACUGCGCCCGGCCUGCUGAAGUCUUAAUAACCUGAGUGACUGCCAUGCAAUAAUUCACAUGUGAGGAUGAAAACUUGGGUGAGGAUGAUGGCAGCGAGAAUGAGCAUGGUCAAAAUCGUAGAAUAUCUGGAGGAAGAGGAAGAAAACUGUUGCAAUGAUAAUUUUUACAUGGAAAGUCAAGAAGAUAUGUGAUCCUUGGCUGGGUGUGGUGGCUCACACCUGUAAUCCCAACACUUUGGGAAGCCAAGGCAGGCGGAUCGUUUGAGGUCGGAGUUCGAGACCAGCCUGGCAAACAUGGUGAAACUCCAUCUCUACUACAAUACAAAACUUAGCUGGGCAUGGUGGCAUGCGCCUUUAAUCCCAGCUACUUGGGAGGCUGACGUGGGAGGAUCACUUGAGACCAGGGGGUGGAGGUUGCAGUGAGCCGAGAUCAUACCACUGCACUCCAGCCUGGGCGACAGAGUGAGACCCUGUUUAAAAAAAAGAAAAAAGAAAAAAAGAAGACAUGAGACCCAGUCUAAGAGGGAAAAUACAGGUCUCAGUCCCAAGUCUGCUCCCAACUCUGGGUCCUUGAGUAAUU